AGCCUCUUAUUUGCUAAAAACUUGAAUUAUAACCAGGUUUCUUUGUUAAGAAGGAAGGCACUAGGGCCCUGGAGUGAGAUGAUGGCUUUGUUGUGUGACCACAGAGGCUGGUUGCAUACUAAUUUCCUCUAGGGCUUGUGAUGAAGUCAGUUAACCACAGCCUUCAGCAUGCUCUGCACAGGCAGCAGCAGUGGCUUCUCGGUAGUGUCUCGGCCAUGACACACAUUUGACAUGCCCUCUCUCAACACACUGAUAGACUAUUUCUCUUGCUCUGCAGCAUGGACCAAAGAGAAAUCCUGCAGAAGUUCCUGGAUGAGGCCCAGAACAAGAAAAUUAACAAAGAGGAGCUUUCCAAUGAAUUUUUGAAGCUGAAAUGGCAAUCUACCAAGUACAAAGCAGACAAAACCUAUCCUACAACUGUGGCUGAGAGGCCCAAGAAUAUCAAGAAAAACAGAUAUAAAGAUAUUUUGCCCUAUGAUUAUAGCCGGGUAGCACUGUCCCUGAUAACCUCUGAUGAAGAUUCCAGCUACAUCAAUGCCAACUUCAUUAAGGGAGUUUAUGGACCCAAGGCUUAUAUUGCCACCCAAGGUCCUUUAUCUUCAACUUUACUGGACUUCUGGAGGAUGAUUUGGGAAUACAGUGUCCUGAUCAUUGUUAUGGCAUGCAUGGAGUUUGAAAUGGGAAAGAAAAAAUGUGAGCGCUACUGGGCUGACCCAGGAGAGAUGCAGCUGCAGUUUGGCCCUUUCUCUAUAUCCUGUGAAGCUGAAAAAAGGAAAUCCGAUUACGUUAUCAGGACUCUAAAAGCCAAGUUCAAUAGUGAAACUCGAACUAUCUACCAGUUUCAUUAUAAGAAUUGGCCAGACCAUGAUGUGCCCUCAUCUAUAGACCCUAUUCUUGAGCUCAUCUGGGAUGUGCGUUGUUACCAAGAAGAUGACAGUGUUCCCAUAUGCAUUCACUGCAGUGCUGGCUGUGGAAGGACUGGUGUUAUUUGUGCUAUUGAUUAUACAUGGAUGUUGCUGAAAGAUGGGAUAAUUCCUGAGAACUUCAGUGUUUUUAGUUUGAUCCAGGAAAUGCGAACACAGAGGCCUUCAUUAGUUCAAACUCAGGAACAGUAUGAACUGGUCUACAAUGCUGUAUUAGAACUAUUUAAGAGACAGAUGGAUAUUAUCAGCGAUAAAUACUCUGGAACAGAGAGUCAAGCAAAACAUUCAGUUUCUGAGCAAAAUCACACCCUACAAGCAGAUUCUUAUUCUCCUAAUUCACCAAAAAGUACCAUAAAAGAAGCAAAAAUAAUGAACCAACAGAGCAAGCAAAGGACAAAGGUGGAAAAUACAGAGGUUUCUUCCUUGGACUUUAGGACUUCUGAAAUAAGUACAAAGGAAGGGUUAAAUUUACAUCCUGCUAAAUUGAGCACUUCUUUUGACUUUCUGGAGCUAAAUUGUGGUUGUAACAAAAAUGUUGACACGACCAUGAAAUGGCAGACAAAGGCAUUUCCAAUAGUUGGGGAACCUCUUCAGAAGCAUCAAAGUUUGGACUUGAGCUCCAUUUUGUCUGGGGCAUGUCCUAAUUCUAAACCUGUAAAUGCAGUAGGAAGAUACUUUAAUUCAAAGGAGCCAAUAAUACGGACCAAAUCAACUCCCUUUGAAUUGAUACAGCAGAGAGAAACCAAGGAGUUGGACAUCAAGGAAAAUUUUUCUUAUUUGGAAUCUCAACCACAUGAUUCUUGUCUUGUGAAAUUGCAGGCUCAAAAAGUGAUGCAUGUUUCUUCAGCAGAACUGAAUUAUUCACUGCCAUAUGACUCUAAGCACCAAAUGUGUAAUGCCUCUAAUGUAAAGCAGAAUGAGUCUAGUGCUUUUAGUGUAUGUUCUUACAUGGAUUUAGUAGAAGAUCCUUAUUUUUCAUCAUUGCCUCCAAGUAGUACUGGUUCUAAGAUGUCUCUUGAUUUAGCUGAGAAGCAAGAUGGAACUAUUUUUCCGUGUUCUUUGUUGCCAACAUCUUCUACAACCUUCCUUUCUUAUUAUAAUUCACAUGAUUCUUUAGCACAGAAUCAUCCAUCCAAUUUUCCCUCCCUACUGAACCAAGGGACAGCUGUAGUGGCAACUUCUCCAAGGAUAGAUGAUGAAAUUCCCCCUCCACUUCCUGAACGGACACCUGAAUCAUUUAUUGUGGUAGAGGAAGCUGGAGAAUUCUCAUCAAGUGUUCCCAAAUCCUCGUCCUUGGCUGUCAAGGUAAAAAUUGGAACAUCACUAGAAUGGAGUGGAACACCUGAACCAAAGACAUUUGAUGACUCCGUGAGACUUAGACCAAGCAAGAGUGUAAAAUUCCGGAGUUCCAAAUCAGAUCUACAUCAAGAUCGUUCUUCUUCCCCCCCACCUCCACUCCCAGAAAGAACUCUAGAGUCCUUCUUUCUUGCUGAUGAAGAUUGUAUGCAGGCCCAAUCUAUAGAAACAUAUUGUACUAGUUAUCCUGACACCAUGGAAAAUUCAACAUCUUCAAAACAGACAUUGAAGACUCCUGGAAAAAAUUUCACAAGAAAGUUUCAAAAUUUUGCAAAACAUGAAAAAGAGUAUCUGUAAUUCUUCACCGCCAAGCAAGCAUGCAGAAUCUGUUCAGUCAAAUAACUCCAGCUCCUUUCUUAAUUUUGGUUUUGCGAAUCGUUUUUCAAAACCCAAAGGACCAAGAAACCCACCACCAUCUUGGAAUAUUUAAUAUAACUCUGGAUUUAUAAUAUAGGCUGCAAGUGCAUCUGCAAAUAAAACUACUAGAAUACUGCUAGUUAAAAUAAGUAUUCUAUAUUCAUAAUAUCAAUAAUGAAGAUAUGAUAAUGUGAUAAUAGCUUUUGAAAGAAAAGUAAUAUGCAAAUACGUGUCAGAAGUUUUGUAUUUUCAUAUUAUUUACAUUGGGUUGGAAACUACAAAUAAAAGUUUGUCACUUGAGCUUA